UACGUAGGGUGCGAGCGUUGUCCGGAAUUAUUGGGCGUAAAGGGCUCGUAGGCGGUUUGUCGCGUCGGGAGUGAAAAUCCAGGGCUUAACUCUGGACUGGCUUCCGAUACGGGCAGACUAGAGGUAUGCAGGGGAGAACGGAAUUCCUGGUGUAGCGGUGAAAUGCGCAGAUAUCAGGAGGAACACCGGUGGCGAAGGCGGUUCUCUGGGCAUUACCUGACGCUGAGACGCGAAAGCGUGGGGAGCAAACAGG
rnacentral:rRNA from 1 species